rnacentral:tRNA from 2 species
CGGGGAGUAGCGCAGUCCGGUAGCGCAUCCGCUUUGGGAGCGGAGGGUCGCAGGUUCAAAUCCUGUCUCCCCGACCA